UCGUGGAAAGGAGAAAAUUCAAUAAUAGUCCCUGAAUUUCUACGACUUUUACAAAUUAGUCCAGAUUGACUUGAAGUGAAGUGGGUAGAUCGGAUCAACACAACAGGGCACACUAUUCAGAUCAAUUCCGGUAGUUUUUGUUUUAUGUUUAAAGAUUUAUAUGGCAUGUAUAGAGUUUGAAUGAAUUGAAGUAAAGAUGUUAUAAACUAGUUAACAAUAUUUGUACUAAAA